AAGAGAUCAAAGCUAAAAUUCUCGAGUUGGUUUGUGCGUAAAUCCCGUUUUGCGUGAGUCUGCAUGCGCGCAAACGGAGUGCGUUUUCCAGCUUAGGUCUGUUCUGGGUUGCGCGCUCGGAUCUGAAGGAAAAAGUCUAAAUGGGUCUCUGAUGAGUGAAAUCUUGAAGUUGAGUGAGUUAUGAAGGGGAAAGCGCGCGAAAUCGGCGCUGCUUUUGGAGUCUCCAUGGCUCAGUCCAAGAAACAACCACAGUGCUCCGCGUCUUCUGCUGCUUUUCAUCGAGCCCAGGCUCAGCGGAACGUUUUAAAGAUCAUUUUUCUGAGUAAACCUUGUGUUGGUUGCACUUGACGCGCGUGCAUUUGUUUGCAGUUACUGGCUUGUGAAAGCAGUGACCCGCGCGUGAUGUAACAAAUCGGUUGCAAUAUUUUCUAGAUAACGCGCAGAAACGGGCUAGAUUGUCCUACCUGCUCUCAGUCGCUCCUGGCGCCCGCGGGGUCCCUGCUGUCCGUUUGGUCGCGCAGCUGGACGUCUGAGGACAUGAUGCUGGACGCUCGCAUCUCUUCUCGUGGGUGAACGCGAAAUGAGGAGUGGAAACAAGGAGCGGGAGAGCAGGAGGAGGAGGAGGGAGGGGAGGAGACGCAGGAGGUCCCUUCACAUCAUAAACACACUUCGGUUUACAGGCGUCUAGGCUUCAUCAUUAUCGCGCAGUUGACAGUGUUUACGCGCAAAUGCGUUAUGAUGCGUCAGGCUCGGUCUUUUAUAGUCGGGAAAUGGGCUUUAACUGGAUCAGAUGCAUGUGACGUUCAGAUCCCCGGGGAGACGACACGCAAGCCUGCGGACAAUGCUUGCGGUCCAUCAAUGGGUCUCUGGGGUCUCUGGGAGUCUCUGACGUGCUCAAGUGCAGGUUGA
ensembl:lncRNA